rnacentral:rRNA from 1 species
GGUAAUUUGACCGUGCAAAGGUAGCAUAAUCCUUAGUUUUUUAAUUGAAAGCUGGAAUGAAAGGUUGGAUGAGAAAGAAGCUGUCUCUGUUUAAUUUAUUUAGAAUUUUAUUUUUAAGUUAAAAAGCUUAAAUUUAAGUAGAAGACGAGAAGACCCUAUAGAGUUUUAUUAUUUUUUUUUAUAAAAAUAAUAGUAUUUUUUAAUUUUAUAGAUAAAAUUAAUUUAGUUGGGGUGAUUAAAAAAUUAAAUUAACUUUUUUUUUAUAGAUACAUUUAUAUAUGACUAUUUGAUCCUUAAUUUGAGAUUAAAAGAUAAAAUUACCUUAGGGAUAACAGCGUAAUUUUUUUUGAGAGUUCUAAUCGAAAAAAAAGAUUGCGACCUCGAUGUUGGAUUAAAAUAAAAUUUUGGUGUAGAAGCUAAAA